rnacentral:rRNA from 1 species
AUUGAACGCUAGCGGGAUGCUUUACACAUGCAAGUCGAACGGCAGCGCGGACUUCGGUCUGGCGGCGAGUGGCGAACGGGUGAGUAAUGUAUCGGAACGUGCCCAGUAGCGGGGGAUAACUACGCGAAAGCGUAGCUAAUACCGCAUACGCCCUACGGGGGAAAGCAGGGGAUCGUAAGACCUUGCACUAUUGGAGCGGCCGAUAUCGGAUUAGCUAGUUGGUGAGGUAACGGCUCACCAAGGCGACGAUCCGUAGCUGGUUUGAGAGGACGACCAGCCACACUGGGACUGAGACACGGCCCAGACUCCUACGGGAGGUAGCAGUGGGGAAUUUUGGACAAUGGGGGCAAUCCUGAUCCAGCCAUCCCGCGUGUGCGAUGAAGGCCUUCGGGUUGUAAAGCACUUUUGGCAGGAAAGAAACGUCGCGGGCUAAUACCCCGUGGAACUGACGGUACCUGCAGAAUAAGCACCGGCUAACUACGUG